UACGUAGGUGGCAAGCGUUGUCCGGAAUUAUUGGGCGUAAAGCGCGCGCAGGCGGUUCUUUAAGUCUGAUGUGAAAGCCCACGGCUCAACCGUGGAGGGUCAUUGGAAACUGGGGGACUUGAGUGCAGAAGAGAAGAGUGGAAUUCCACGUGUAGCGGUGAAAUGCGUAGAGAUGUGGAGGAACACCAGUGGCGAAGGCGACUCUUUGGUCUGUAACUGACGCUGAGGCGCGAAAGCGUGGGGAGCAAACAGG
rnacentral:rRNA from 1 species